rnacentral:rRNA from 1 species
UAACAACCUGGAAACAGAUGCUAAUACCGGAUAACAAUAGAUGAUGCCUAUCAACUGUUUAAAAGAUGGUUCUGCUAUCACUCUUGGAUGGACCUGCGGUGCAUUAGCUAGUUGGUAGGGUAACGGCCUACCAAGGCGAUGAUGCAUAGCCGAGUUGAGAGACUGAUCGGCCACAUUGGGACUGAGACACGGCCCAAACUCCUACGGGAGGCAGCAGAG